UUUUGAAUGGAAUAGGAAAGGAAAUUCUCAUUCCAUUUCGAGCUUCUUUCUUCUUCUUCUUCUUCUUCUUUCUCUUCUUCUUCAUAGGCUUUCUAACACCAGAAAAUUCUCAGGGCUCACGGAGAAAUACAGGAAUAAGAAAAAGAGAGACGCUUUGUUUUGUCGUUAGGAUAUAGAAGCCAUGAAGACUCCGCUCAAAAAGUUGCGAGGGCUCGGACUUCACAAACAUGAGCCCAAGGAGCGCAAAGAUAUUCGGCCUUUGUCAAAAUUGGACGAGCUAGCUCAGGCUUCGCUGGAAAUGCAAGAUAUGAGGGACUGCUAUGAUGGCUUACUUUCCGCAGCUGCGGCGACUGCAAACAGUGCUUACGAAUUCUCAGAGUCAUUGCAGGAAAUGGGUUCUUGUCUUCUCGAGAAAACUGCGUUGAAUGAUGACGAAGAAAGUGGCAAAGUUCUGCUAAUGCUAGGAAAAGUACAGUUUGACCUGCAGAAACAUAUUGAUAGCUAUCGCGCUCAUAUAUUUCAAACAAUCACAAGCCCAUCAGAGUCUCUUCUUAAUGAACUUCGAACAGUUGAGGAGAUGAAGCGCCAAUGUGAUGAGAAAAGAGAUGUAUAUGAGUAUAUGAUAACCAGACACAGAGAAAAGGGGCAAUCAAGAAGUGGAAAAGGGGAGAUUUUUUCCAUGCAGCAGCUACAAACUGCUCGUGAUGAAUAUGAUGAAGAAGCAGCCUUUUAUGUAUUCCGGUCAAAAUCUCUAAAGCAAGGACAAUCCCGAAGUCUUCUUACACAGGCAGCUCGUCACCAUGCUGCUCAGUUGUGCUUCUUCAAGAAGGCUGUUAAAUCUCUUGAGUCAGUAGAACCCCAUGUGAAAUUGGUAACUGAACAUCAGCAUAUUGAUUACCAGUUCAGUGGACUUAAUGAUGGGGAUGAAGCUGGCGACGACGAUGACAACGACAGCAAUUAUGAUGAUGAUGAUGAUGACGAUGAUGAUGGAGAAUUGAGUUUUGAUUAUGGACAAAAUGACCCAGAGCUUGAUGUUUCUACACCACGGAAGUCAAUGGAGCUGGAUCAGGUGGACAUUACAUUUCCCCAGGUUGCAACUGUGGAAGCCGUGAAGGAAAAUCUGGGUAGGCUCCACAAUAAUUCUUUUGCCUAUAGGGCGAGGCUGGGCAGCCAAUCGGCCCCAAUUUUUGCUGAGAAUAAAUUUGAUUCUGCUGAAAAAAUAAGAGAGAUUCGACAGUCAUCAACACGCAAGUUGCAAACUUAUGUCCUACCCACUCCGGUUGAUAUGAAGAGUUCAAUUUCUGCUGGAUCAGGUAAUCCAAUGCUUCACAAAACACAGACUACUCCAAGUGGGCGUACAAGGAAUUUGUGGCAUUCAUCCCCAUUGGAUCCCAAAAGGUUAGAAAAAGUUUUGGUAGAUGAGAAACUCUCCCGACCCACCAAUGUAAAUGCUCAAGCUGUACUUGAGAGAAACAACACUGCAUCCACACGCUUGCCUCCUCCAUCUGAUGGGCUUUUGUUUUCACAUCAGUUUACACUUUCUGCUUCUGAUCCAAAAAAACUCAAAAUACAUCCUUUUUCUGGUCCAUUGACGAGUAAGCCAUGGCCUACAAAGCUGGUCUCAGUGGAAGGUCCCCAUUUGUAUUCGGGACCCCUUCUUCAAACAUCUCAACUUCCAUAUACUUCUCCAAAAGCAUCUCCAAGUACUUCCCCUACCUUUAUGUCCUCACCCAAAAUAAGUGAGCUUCAUGAACUUCCUAGGCCUCCUGCAAGUUCAACCUCCAAGUCUUCAAGACCUGAGGGUUUGGCUGGUCAUUCAGCCCCCUUGGGGUCCAGGGAUCAAGUGCUUUCUCUCAUAAAUAAGUCCGUUGUCUCAAAUGUAGCAUCUCCACUGCCAAGACCUCCACUAAUUAUUUCUCGUAGUUUCUCCAUACCCUCAAGUAGUCCUAGUGUGGCAACUUCCUAUGCAUCGAAGCCCCUGAAAAAUCGUCACAGCAUGGAGAUAGGUGAAGGCGUUGAUUCGCCCCCUUUGACACCAAUAGACCUUUCACGCAACCGGCCAUCAUCAGCUGCUUCUGAGACCGUCAUUCGCGUUGUUCAAAUUAGAGGGACUCAUAUGAAUUCACUGGCGACACCGUAAUUGAUGGACCUGUUCAGGUAAGCACCUGUUCACACGAGGAAUUCUGGCUUUUUGUUGGCAGGUGCAUGCGGAUUGAUUCUAUUCAUAUUCAGUGCCAAUUUUGUUUUCGAUUUGGCAAUCCAAAAACUCGUUGGGGGUGACAUUGCUUCUCACCAUUUCGUACAGCUGCAGAUCUGUAAAUUAGUCAUUUUUGUAUAAUUUGUUGUUUUCUUUUAUUUUAUCUAUUAUAUUAACCAAUUAAUUUUACUUUAAUGGGCACACCUGGCAUGGAUUAAUUGAAUAAAUGCCAUAGUGUUCCAUCAUUUUUGGGGAAUUUGUAUUUUCUUCUAGCACUUUAAUAGUCAAUUGCUCUCUUCUUUUUUACUUU